rnacentral:sRNA from 1 species
UUCUGUUUUUGUCAUAAAACCUAAUUUUAGCCACUCACUUUACUUCCGAUACUGUACACAUUUUUUUUAAUUUUUAUAUAAAUAGGUAAUUUAUGUCUCAAGUAACAGGCACUGUAAAAUGGUUUAACGAGUCAAAAGGUUUUGGCUUCAUUGCACAAGAAAACGGUAACGACGACGUUUUUGUUCACUUCAGAGCUAUCCAGUCUGAAGGUUUCCGUACUUUGACUGAAGGUCAAAAAGUAAGCUUUACAGUAACUCAGGGCGCUAAAGGUCCUCAGGCUGAAAACGUAACUGUACUUUAAUCAGUUAUGUCUAGGUGCGGCAUCAAGCUGCACCUUGCUA